CCCUUAGAUGUUCUGGGCCGCACGCGUGCUACACUGAGUGGAUCAGCGGGUCAGGUUGCGCGAAAGUGUUUCCUAAUCUUGAAAUCCGCUCGUGAUGGGGAUUGACGGUUGCAAUUUUCCGUCAUGAACGAGGAAUACCUUGUAAGCGCGGGUCAUCAUCCCGCGCUGAAUACGUCCCUGCCCUUUGUACACACCGCCCGUCGCUCCUACCGAUUGAGUGGUCCGGUGAGGCUUUGGGAUCUGAGCAACAAGAGCGUUUCGCUCGUUUGGCUCGGAAAACUCAGUCGAACCUUAUCAUUUAGAGGAAGGAGAAGUCGUAACA
rnacentral:rRNA from 1 species